UCUCUCUCCCUCUCCCUCCGCCGGAUUUUCUUCCCGCUCGUCCGCCGCCGUCCGACCGCCUGGGACUGCCGCACCGGUCACGUUCGGUCGGCCGUCGACCCAGCUUUCUUCUUGGACCGGUGAGAGCUGCCCUAGCGCCGCCGUGAAGAAGGGAGCUCGCCCGGAAGCUUCGGCUGCGUGGUGGAGUCCCGACGCCGGAACUCGCUCUUCCGGCCACCAUUUCGGAUGAUUUCAGUUCCAUUUGGAAGUGCUCUCUGUGUGUAGCUUUUCCCUAGAAGGUAAUGAUCCAAUUCGAAGUGUGUAGGAGGAUUUUCGGGCUAGGGUUUGAAUUGGGUGAUUUUUGGAUGUUUUGAUUCGAUUACCCUAUUUAGGCUUGAAAUUGGACUUAGUGCUAGUUAAGAAAGUUGUAGAGUAGGUUGAGAGGAAGCUGCUGUUUAAUUUUGGUGAGCAUUGGAGGUCGCCGGAAUUGGCCUCCGGCCGCCGCUGCCGGCGGAGCCGCCGCCGCCGCCGGUUGGGAGAUUUUUAUGUUUUUAAAUGUAGAAUAUUAAGAGGAGUAUAUUGAUGUGAUUUAUGGAAUUUUUGGAUGAGAUUUGGAUAGGUUUGUGAAUUUCCGAAGUUUGGUAUUUUUGGCGGUUAAUUAAUGUAGAAUCCGGCCGUAGGAUUUAAGUCGUAUUUUGAGGAGGUGGUAUUUACGAUUGUUGAGUAUGAUAUUUAAGUUCGGAUCGUUCCGAUUUAUGAUUAUCGAAGUUAGGCAAUGAUGAGCGUAUUUAUGGCUCUCGGGUAAUUUUGCCUAUUUUGAUUAAAUAUUGGAUUAUUGGUUGGGAAAUUAAUAUUAUAUUUGGAAACAGGACGUGAGGAGGCUCAAGCAGAAGAGACCUCGGAUCGACGUCAGGCUUAGGCCUAAAGUUGUGAGUGGACUUUUGUUUUAAAAUAUAUGCAUGUGGUGAUUCUACAUUAAAUGAUUGAUUUUAUUGAAUAUCAAUUUGUGGAUUUGUCUGUUUUCGCGAAGUCAUUUUCAGAAGUAAAUGUUAUCAUUUUUAAUGGCUAUCGUGUUAUUUGGAAAGUUACCGAAAAUGAGAUUUUCGGUAAAGUCGUGUGCGUAUUGCUUUUUAUGAUAAUUGGCAAUUUUCAUUAUCGUUGGAGAAUAACUGAAAUUGAGAAUUUCGGUGAGUAUGUAUAUAUAUCCAUAUUUGGAUGAUUAUGAGAAUAAUAUGUAUAUGAGAGAAUGCUAGCUAGCUAUACGUGCUUUUCCACCAUACUGAGGUAAAAUUCCAUUAUGGUGCAACGUGAGCGUUAGACACAAUCGUUGUAGCCCUAUAUAAAUAUAAUAAUUUAUAUAGGGGAUAUGCGCGUAUAUUUAUACACCGUCUUUUCCACCAUAAUGAGGUAAAAUGUCAUUAUGGUGCAACGUGAGCGUUAGACGCAAGCGUUGUAGCCUCGUGUGAAUUUUCUAUUUGUUUUUGUUGUUUCAAGAAAAUUCAUACAAGGGAUAUGACGAGUGUAAUACAUACAUAUUUUUAUUUUAGCCUGAGAGGCUGUAUGUUAUUGAGCGUUGGAGACUGGCCGGAGCUAGUCAUGAAAUUUCCAGUUUUCGUGUUGAGCGUUUUGAGCUGUCGCAUGCAACAUAUUUUUCUAUGGAAAUGUAAAUUGGGAAAGCAUAAAUAUUUUCAUUAAAUUUAUCUUUUUGUCCA
rnacentral:lncRNA from 1 species